GACAGUUUCUCAGUGUAGCCUUGGCUGUCCUGGAACUCUGUGGACCAGAGUGGCCUUGAACUGACAGAAAUCCUCCUGCCUCAGUUUCCUAAGUAGCUGGGACCACAGACAAGGGUGGACAUAGUAGGCCUCACAUCUGUGUAUGUUAAAUUUAUAUUACCAGGUGCUGAAUAUUUUUUUUAAUAAAAAACUAUUUUUGUGUAUGGGGCUUUUCCUGAAUUAUUUUGCCUGUUAUGAGUACCUAGUACUUCGAUCUGGUCCUUGGAAAUUGUGAGCUAUCAUGUGGGUGCUGAGAACUAAACCUGGGUCCUCUGCAAGAGCAGCCAGUGAGUGCUCCUUAAGAAGCCGCCUCUCCACCUAGGUGCGGGGCAUUCUUAUGUCCAUAUAGAUACCUUUCUGGUUUAGGAUGCAGUGGAAAAAAAAACCAUUUUUCUCCUUCUAAAUCUUGUGGGUUUCUUGUUUGUUUUUGUCUUUUAAGACAGGGUCCUGGAAUUCACUAUGUAGAUCAGGCUGGUCUUGAACUCACAGAGAUCUGCUUAUCUCUUUACUAGAGUGCUAGGAUUAAAGGCAUCCACCACCAUGCCUGCCUGCUUUUAAAUUUUGUUUGUUUUUGUUUUUUUGAGACAGGGUUUCUCUGGAACUCCAGCUGUUCUGGAACUCAUUGUGUAGACCAGGCUGGCCUCAACUCAGAGAUCCUCCCGGCUCUGUCUCCUGAGUUCUGAGUGGGAACUUCGAUGAAGCUUAGGAUGAUUUUUGAACUGAUCUUUCUAUGCACCUCCACCUCUGGGUUACAUGGUUCUGGGGAACUUUCCCGGAGCCUAGUGUACUAGUCAAUGCCUCUCCUGGGCCACAGUCCCAGUCCACGCUUCUUAAUUUUACUUUAUUAGUAUUUAUCUUAUUACCCUUAUUAAUAUUUAUUAAUAUAUGUUAAAUUUCAGUAGGGGACGGCUUGUGAAAGUCCACUGUCUUCUCUACUGUGUGGGUCCUGGGGAUUGGAAGCAGGAAGCUCGACCUGCUGAGCCAUCUUACCAGCCCCUCGUUAAUUUUCAAUAGAGGGUUAAUUUAAUUCCAGUCUAGACUGAGGCCCUUCUGCGUACUUAACUUGAUGCCCCAGGAACUACAUGAGUUAGGAGGGAGCUUCGUGUGCAGCUGGCUGUGGUCCUUUUGGCUGGUUCCUAAGACCUGUGGGUCACUAACGCUAGGGACUGAGUAGAGCAUUUGCCUAGAAUGAAUGCAUCAGGUAGGAGCUAAGGAGGGUCACGUCCAGUCCCCAGGAACUUCCUCUCCACCCCCACACCCUUAACUACCAGAAGAAAGAGGCAGUGCAAGUUUUCAGAGUGUGUUCUCUGUGCAGCACUUUCCUGCUGCCCCACUGUGUGCCAAGGCCUCACAGGAAGCUGGGCACUUAAAGGCUCAUCACUAACUUCCCCUCUCAGGGGUCAGAACUUUGUGCUGCCUCAGACCUAGUGGCUAAAGUCUACUGUUUCAUGUAUUAUGUUCAAAGAGGAAGAGCAUUACAUUAAUUAAUUCGUGCAUGCAUGUGUGCACGUGUGCGCAGCUAUGUGCAUGCCACACAAAGCAAAGGUCAGAGGACAGCUUCGGGGCGUCAGUUAUUUUUGUUCCAUGAGACAGAGGAGACAGAGCUCCCGUCUUCAGCUUGGCAGCCUAUACUGAGCUGCUAUGCUAGCUUUCCAAGCUUUAAUUGUUUCUUGUGUAGGUAGAUAAAGCCACCACCGCUCUGCAGUGUUUUAAAUGUGUUUAGUUUCUUAUCUAUCUUUGUGGGUGUGAGCAUGGGGGCCUGCAUUCCUGUGCCCAGAAACUAGGACAGCGGCUCUCUGCCGUUCCCACAUCCCAUCAUAUUUGAGAUGGGCUCUCGCACUAGAACUAGUUUGCCAUUUCAGCUGGGAUGCCUGGCCAGAGAGCUUCUGCACUGCCUUGGCCUCUCUCUGCCUCAGGAGCUUCUAGAUCUGCCUGCCUCCUCCCUGGCAUCCUUGGGGUUACAGGAACACAUAGCUACGCCCAGCAUUUUACUCCGCUGGUUUCAUCUAGACCUUCAUGUUUACACAGUGAGCUGACGAGAAUCUUCCUGGACUGACACCGGUAGCAGGGGUGGAAGAGAGGAGCUGUCUCCAGUGGAUGGAAGUCAGAACAGCUCCGAGGACACGGAGCAGGCAAGACUGUAGGUCACCCAGGCGGCAGGCACGGGCUGGUAAGCAGGACGACUCAUUGUUUCACUGUCCCUCCAGGUUAAUUCUGUUCCAGGGAGCGAGGGAUACCAGGCUUGGCCAACAGGGUACAAGCAGCGCUGUCCGCGGACCACUAAGGACAUCAAUACUCCAUAUCUAGUAGCUGGUCUUUCCCACCUCGUUCUACCUCAAGCACCAGAUUUCUUAUGAAAUAUGACCCCGUGAGUUAGAAAAGAACAUGACUGUGUGUUCAGUUGUAGUCCGUGGGAGAAGACAAACUAAACUGAAGUUGUCAGGGCAGGAGACAGGACUGGCAGGUGUGACGGUUUGAAGAAUGGCCCCACAGGCUCACCAGGGAGUGGCACUAUUUGAAAAAUGAUAAGGAUCAGGAGGGGUGGCUUUGUUUGAGGAAGUGUGUCACUGGGGUGGCCUGUGGACUGGGAUGUAUCUCAGCUCCGGCUCCAGCAUCACGUGGGCUGCAAUGCUCCUAGCCAAGAUGAUAAUGGACUAAGCCUCUGAAAUUGUAAGCAAGAAACUAAAUGCUUUCUUUAAUCCCAUGCAGCAGGGAGUCAGGCAGUGGCCAGCAGAUCGCUGAGUUCAAGACCAGCCUGGUUCAUAGAGUAAGUUCAAGGUCAGUCAGGGUUACACAGAGAAACCCUGCCGGGGGGCUCAGGUCGCCUUGGUUGGAGUUCUCACUGAUGGAACAGUGACAAGAGAGCAGGUGAAGUGCUUACCUACAGGACUAAUAUCCUGAGACUGAACCCACAUCUCUCAAGAAACUAGACAGAGCUGUGCACAUCUAGACUCCCACUGUCUCCCUGGGGAAUGGCCAGAAGUUCAUGGCCAGCCAGUGAACUGAAAGAGACACUGUCUAAAACACAAUGCAAGUCAAGGCCUGACACCCAAGGUUAUCCUCUGGGACACAUAUUCAAAGACACAUAUGCAUCACACACACAAGGAGGAGGAGUCAGACUCAAUAUGCUUGCCUCCGGCUUUGCAGCUACUGUUCAGUUAAAGACAUACAUGUUCACUGUGUCACCAGCUAAUGGCCCAGCAGAAGGGGAACGUAGAAAAGGCUAAGACGGUGACUCUAACAGUGGGCAGGCAGAAACCUCUAAUGCCGUGUGGUUUGCAGGCCUUUUAAAUUACGUCUUGACCAGGCGUGGUGGCACACACACUAAUCCCAGUACCUGAGAGGCGGAGGCAGGAGGGCCACAGUAAGUUUCAGGCCAGCCUGGCCUGCAUAGUGAGUUCCGGGUUAGACAGGGAUCUAUAAUGAAACCUUGCCUCAAAAACAAUUUAGGCCCUCUGUGGUGACAUGCGCCUUUAAUCCCAGCUCUUAGGAAGCAGGCAGACCUCUGUGAGUUCACAGAGAGUUCCAGGGUAGCCAGGGCUACACAAAGACCCUGUCUUAAAAACAAAUAACAAAAUUAAUUUUAAAAAGCAAAAAGGAAAUCCUGUCUGAAAUGAAGAGGGAGAGUAAUAAGGCUAAUAUACUAAGCACCACGUCAGCAAAACCAAAUGCACCCCACGUGGGCAGCAGAGAGGCCUCGCAGUCUGAGGAGCUAUAGGAGCAGGGUUGUGCAGAGGAUGGGGACCUACAGGAGACGGGGCUCAUUUGUUUUGGAGAAUGCUUUAAAUAUAAUAAAGGCAAUAAAUCUUACCUGCU
ensembl:lncRNA